rnacentral:rRNA from 1 species
GUAGGGAAUAUUGCGCAAUGGGGGAAACCCUGACGCAGCGACGCCGCGUGAGUGAUGAAGGCCUUCGGGUCGUAAAGCUCUGUUGCAGGGGAAUAAACAAAUGAAGGUACCCUGUGAGGAAGGAUCGGCUAACUUCGUGCCAGCAGCCGCGGUAAGACGAGGGAUCCUAGCGUUGCUCGGAAUCAUUGGGCGUAAAGAGGGCGUAGGUGGCUUGGUAAGUCAGGAGUGAAAGCCAAGGGCUCAACCCUGGAAGUGCAUUUGAUACUGCUGAGCUUGAGUGUCGGAGAGGUUACCGGAAUACCUGGUGUAGUGGUGAAAUACGUAGAUAUCAGGUGGAACACCGGAGGCGAAGGCGGGUAACUGGACGAACACUGACACUGAGGCCCGAAAGCGUGGGGAUCAAACAGGAUUAGAAACCCGGGUAGUCC